GCGGGCGGGAAGCGGCGCCCCUCAGCGCUGGGCUGCGCGCCCCCGUCCCCAACCCCGAGGCAGCGCCCUACCAGAAAGAGCAGGUAUCGUGGUGCUCAGGCUGCUCUUUGAGACACCUGCAGCAAGGCUGUUUCUUCAGGGGAUGUUAAGUCUGAGUAGCAGCCCAAAGAGUUCUCAUGUCCAACUUGAGCUGGUUAUCUUCCUCUUAAAACUGGGAAAUCACAGACAGAGUCUCAUCAGGUUUCUCUGCAAGAUGAGCUUUGUGUCAUCCAGACUGUCCUGGGUACCUCUUCUGUCACGACGUGCUGUCUGAGGGAAUGUGAGGACUUCAGCUGCUCACCUAAAAUUUCCAGAGACAGACCAAUUUGAUCUAUUUCUAGCAGUUGAAAAGUGCUCAGCUCUUUUUUUGGAAGUAGAUCCUUCAUGAGGUGGUUUUGCAAACACGAUCAAUUCACUCCAAGAAACCAAAACAAAGCCAUGGCGGUAGUCGCUGCUGGGAGCAAGAAAACAAUAGAAUGCAACCAGGAUAAUGGAGAGUGACCAUUAGGUCAGACCUAGAGCUUAUUCUGAGUGGCAAGUGAUGUUGAACAUAAGUAUUCUGUCCUCAGUUCAUGGAGAUUUAAACUCUACUUCCCUACCACCAGGUUUUAUGAUAGGUUGGAGUGAGGACAUGCCAUUGAAGCUCUCACCCAAUAUAGUAAAUGGUGCAAAAUUCAGGCAGUGAGAAGAAAGAAGAGUACAAGUCAUAUCUUGACUGCCACGAGUGGGGGGAUCACAAAUAGAAGGCAUCAGUUCCCAACUGCAGUCCCACCUCCUAGCAUUGCUGCUCAGUAGCACAUCAACAAGUUAAGACAACUUCUUGAAAACAGCUGUUCACUAAAUUAGUUCACCAGGUGCUCAUCUUCUUAUUUUGUCUGACAUGUCACACCAUCACAAUAGAAGCAGAUGGAUCCAUAAAAUCAGAUAUUUUUAUUAAUAUUCAAUGACUGUCGUAACUUGAAAUGCAGAAUUUCACUGUGCUUUUUUCUGAGGUUCUGAAAUGUUCCAAGAAAAUGUGGUCUACUUUAAUGAGACAUUACGAAAUGUAACUAUAAAAAUUAAAAACAACUUUAUCUUUUUCCAAAACAAGAUCUUUAUAAUUUCUACUUUGGAGCAAAUUUGGAAGACAGUUUUCAUUGCGGUUCAAACAAUAACAGUGUUUUCCACAAAACACAUUUCCUUUAGUUUUUAAACCACUUAUGAAAGAAACUCAUGAUGGGCAAUAAAAUAAUGCUGUAGCAGUAGCACAUACUGUAGAUGAGGUCAAAGUCUACUGCAGAAUCCAUGACUUCUAGCCUGUGUUCUGUCUCUGUACCAACUGCCCUUGCAAGAUCUCUCUCCUUCCACUCCUCUGGUGUCUGCAUAGGUUUCCUUCUCUUCUAGCUGGAAGAACACUGCACCAGAAGCAAAGAACACAUCCGCUCCCUCCUUCCCAAGAGCUAAUACUUGUUCUUUCCCCACAGUAGUAAUGCUAAGCAUUUGAGAUCAGCAGUCUCAGGAACUGAGAAUGGUAGAUGCUUGCAGAGCAGGGACAGUCCUGCCCAUUGAGAAAGUGGAUGAGAAACAUGGAGUUUCCAGCAACCUUCUGCAGCCACGGCCAUGAGAUAAAGUUCCCAAGGAACAUUUUACCGUCUUAGCAACUUUGGGCAGGGAAGGAAGAAAAGAAGGAGAAGGGGAACUCUACCCACAGCCAGAGCUACCUAAAAAUCUAUAGAAGUGCUUAUAAGAGGUUUAUUAUCAUUAGAAAAUACAUGAACAUAGAAUAUAUUUUUAUCUUAUAGGAGCUUCAGCAACACCAGUUGUUUUACUGACAGAACUACAUCUUUAGCUGAAAGCAGUAGUUCCGUUAGAUUGUUGCAGUCAUUUUUUGCUAUGCACUGGUUAGUAAGAUGUUUGGUAGAGUAUGCUGCAAGGGCAGUAGAUGGACUGAGAUGGGCUGAGCAGUGGCAUGCUCACAGCAUCCCCUUGAACACAAAAAUGGGCAUCACUCAUUAGCAGUGCUAACGCAGGACUGCUAGAAGAGGUCAGCCUAUCUUCCAUGGCAAACCCUGCAUCAAGUGAGAUGUUUGCACAGCCACAACCCUAGACCUACAGUUUUGUGUCACAUAAAUUCACGUUAUGUUCACUUAUGUGUGUACAAAUACAAAUAUAUGCAUUUACUGACAAUAAAAUCUCUUUGCUAUAGGCACAACGAACGAAACCAUUUAAAAUGCACCUUAAUGAAAUGCAUUUCAUACUUAUAUCAUUUUAUUUUAUGUCCCAUGGUAUUUGUAAGUGUCAUCAUUUUCAAUUUUAAAUACCUAAUAGGAACAAUUUUACAUCCAUUUCCUCUUUUUAUGAUUGCUGUACCUAUAAACAUAUAUGCAAUCCAUCUUUUUAAGUAAAGAUCUCCCAGAACUCGGGAAUAAAAUUGUUCCCAUCAAACAAAGAAUCUGUACCCACCACAGAGAAAUUCUCAUUCGUGCUGGAGAGUGUUUUGAUUGUUUACCAGUUGUUCCAUUUAAUUUCUAAAUGGUAGAAUUCAGAACUGUCUAUUGAAUGCCAGGGUAACAUUUGACUUUAGGUUUCUCAUUGAGUUUUAUUCUUUGUCUUUCCUAUAGAAAUAAAAAACUGCUAUUUAGAAACCUUAUUGUUCACAGAAAGCAAAUAGCCACAUAUUCCAAGGAACACUUCUUGCUCACACAGCCUUCCUUCUACAGGAACAAAGACAGCAAGAAUGACUUGCAUGUGUUGAUUUAC